rnacentral:lncRNA from 1 species
CCGGACCGGAGUUGAAAGAGCACUCCUGAAACCGCCAACUCCACCAUGAGUCGGCGAAUAUCCUCCACCACGUUCCCAAUAUUGCUCCACCAAGUAUUCCUUUCCUUAAGCAUGCUCACAGCUUCCUUUGAGUUAGAUGCAAUAACAAAAUGACUGAUUCUGAUGGCUCGCAUUAGGAGUCCCUCCCUUAUGGUUGUUAGCUCAGUUCCA